ensembl:lncRNA
AUGCUGUCUGUAGUCAUAGCAGAUCGGAAUGCAGACAAAUCCUGGAGCAGAUCAGAGUCUGAACCGGACAGUGAGGAUAAGGGUGCAAUCCGCCCACCACUGUCUAGACCACUCCCCUCCAGCAGCACCUCCCUCCCGCAACCCCCUGUAGCAACCCCACCUGCCUCUUUGCCCCACCCACCUCAGAUGAGCUCCACUCCCUACAGCAGAACCCUUAAGGAAGAGGCCUCCACAGAGGAUGAGGAAGAAGAGGAUGAAAGGGAAGAACCGGAGGAAAUUUGUGAAAAGGCUAAAGAUUCUCAAAAUGGUGCUAGCAAGGAGAAGCGAAGAGAUUUUCUUUUAGAAUUGGGACUCGAAAAGGAAGAUGAAAAUGACGAAUCUCCCUGGGAUUCAGAGUCUGGUUCUGAGAGCCCACAGAAGAAACAGGCCAGUGCCCAACACACUCCCGCCAAAUCACAUAGAUCUAUGCACAGUAUUUGUGAGGAGAACACUGAAGUUUUAAGAAAUGACGAGUAUGAAGAUGAAGAAGAGACGGAAUCCGAAAUACCACCCAAAGUGAUCAAAAGGGAGCCUGUCUCUGUUCUUAGUAAGCUGAUGGAUUCAAAAGAAGCUAAUAAGAAAACAGGUCAUCUCCUUUUUUUUUCUUUUUUUAAACAACAAUUAAAUUAUGUUGUAACAUAUUUGUCUACUCAUUUAAACAUCUUUGUUCUUACAGACCUGAUGGAAGAGCUUGGUUUGGGGGAUGCUGAUGAUCUUGAAGAUGCUUCAGACUGGGACUCCGCCAGCACCACCAGUAAGGCCAGUAAGAACUACCCAGUUCAUAAGCUAGAAGAGGAACCCCUCUUUGAAAGCCCAGCAGCUUCCACACUACCCAUAACACCUCAGCAACAGGACAUGGACACCAGGGAACAUAAAGAAGCCAAUCCAGAGAGAAACAAACCCACAAUCUCAAGCACAACACCUCUACCUAGUCCACGAUCUCUCAACCCAAACGCCAGCUCAAAACCACAGCCACUGCCACGGCUGCGCUUGGACUCCAAUCAGAGGCCAGAGAGUGAAGGUAGAACUCAGAAACUGCAAAUCUUAGAUUUAGUUCAGUAAAUAUAUAUGCUGAUUACAUAACUUGUUUAUUUACAGAAUCGGACUGGGAUACGGACACUUUCAGUCCAGCCAAGAAGACAGCUUCACUGCCAAAUGUCACUGAGCCUGAUGCAGUUCGUCAGCAGAAACCCAAAGCUGAAGAUGCAGAGAGUGAAGACAGUUCUGACGCAAGCGAAGAUGUAGAUCAGGCAAGAGAGGCAUUACAAGCAUCUUCCAUAUACAUAAAUAAGCCAUCUAACCAUGAACCACUGGAGCGCCCAACCUCUCCUAUAGAGGACGAACAAGAGGAGAAAGCUGAUGAGAUUCCCUGGGAGGAACGCUAUGAGAAAAUCUGGGUGGAUAAUGAAAAAAAGGAGACCAAGUCCCAAUAUAAAAACGUGGCUGCUGAACUAAAAGAGAGGUUUGGAGAACUGGAGCACAAGGAACCACCAAGUAGGCUUUCGGAGCAGGUGUGGAAAGAAGAUGAACAAUAUGAUGAGGUGGAAAAGGAAGCAGAUGAUGAAGAUUCCAGUGAGGAAGAUGGAGAGCUAAUAGUGCGACCCACCGCCCGGGCAAGAAGUGCCAUACUGUUGCCCAUCCCAGAGCAGAGAGAGUCAGGCCUGGAGGACUCACAGUCUGAAAGUGUCCACCGCACAAUUAGUGUUGAGGUCAGUGAUGCAGAGCUUCCCAGUGACCACCACAACCCCCAAAUCAUCCCAGAAGUCCUAACAGAUGAAGCCCAGGAGCCAGAGAAACGAGCGGAUGACAUUGAGGAACCUGAUAGUGGAAGCAAAGAAAAGUGUCCACUAGAAUCUGGAAGCAACAUAGAUGAAGAACCUGAACUUCACAGACCUUCAUUGCAUGUUGAGAAUGAGCUACAAAUCCCACAUAAAUUUCUAGAAGCGACCCCUUCUGACCCCGACGAGGUUGGCGAGGGCUUGUGGAAGUCCAGACUUGAGGUAGGACCCCGGGAGGAGUCUCAGACAAACUUAUAUAACCAAUGAAGACUUUCAAUUUUGCCUCUGUCUUCUUGUUCUUCAUUCACAUAAACUCAAAAUGUGAGGGAAAAGCUCCAGCUUCAAAAACAAAACCAUCUGUCGUCUUGUAAUGCUGCCCAGACGCUGACGGGCCAAAUUACACAGCUGCUCCCUAUCUCUGGUUGUGCUAAUCAUUAGCUCUGUUCCAAAACUAGUGAGCUGCCUAGCUGGACAUGACAUGCUUCUGAUUAUGUUGCCUUGUUUUGUCCAAAAACGUGUUUUUAAAACUUUUUAUAAGCUCUUUACCGGUACAUUUUGUGCUCAUGUUGCAGUGCUUUGAAGCUAAUUUAGCGCAUUUACGCAGAAAAACAAUUAUUGUAAUUGUGAAUUUGCAAAUAUUUGCAUUUUAUACAGUAUUGAAAUUGUUGAAAAAGGCAUUAAUCUAAAUAAGCACAUUUCAGGUGUCAAAAUAAGACUUUAUUGUACAAAGCAACAAAGCUGAGAUGACAGCCACCGCAUCUGGGUCUUUGUCUGUCUGGGCAGCCAUACUUAUACCUUGUUCUUAUCAGUCGUUUUUAACCAAAAAUUUGUAAUCUGGUUUCUUAUUGGUUUCGCUUGUCUGGUUUGCCACAAUUAAUUAAUACUCCUCCUGACUUCUUUUGUAAAUGUGGAAUCUGGCCAGAUGGGCCAUUUUUAAAAUUACUUUUAUUUUGCUGUCUUCUUUGGGUUGGCACAAUAAAGAGAUGUUCCUACAUCUCCCA